UUGCACAGCCUGUCGUAAGCCAGGAUAAAGGAGGAACGUUCGUGGCUUGGCGAGCCAACGGUAAAAUAUCUAAGAGUUGGUUACUGCUUGGCAGUUCAUACCAUCAAUCCGGAGAUAAUUGCAACCUUGGCAGUGUCAAGAGGAAGUUGCAGUAUUGGCUGUUCAUACUACCUAGUGAGGAGAUGAUUGCUGCUUUCCAGUUCAUACCGUCUGAUCUUUUUCCAUAAACCUACUAGGGUUUUGAGACAUAUGAUAAAUCUGUCUUCAUCAGUCUUGGCUAGGCUACUCAGGAUGGUCUUUUGGCGUCCGUUUUCUGCAGCCAUGCAGGAGAUAGAUCUCUUUCCUGUCUCACUCUACUAGGCCUAUUUGAAGAAGAUGAAGAAGAUAAUCUGUUGGGCUUGACCUAGUGUGAGUUGCCAGACCUUCUCUAGCUAUAGAGAAAGGUACCUAGGCAGCCGCUUUGCUGUCCAGCACAACUGUGCGAGGUUGUUCAUAUUGUAGGAAAAGAGUUGGUUACUGCUUGACAGUUCAUAACUUCAUAUCAUCGGUAGUCAGACUUCAAAAAGGAGAGAAGUGGGUGUUUUUCUUUGAGGGUGUUUCUUUGUUGCCCGUCUCCUGAGAUCUGCUUGAUUUUUUCUCUCUACCGAGAGAUGCAAAAUCAGAGCUGAUGAUUAUGAACUUGAUAAAUCAUGCAGAUCUCAUGCAGGAGAUGGAUCUCUUUCCUGAGUCUCAGUCUACUAGUUCCGUAUGAAUCUACUAGGGUUUGGAGACUUGUUAAAUCUGUGUUCAUCAGUCUUGGCGAGGUAACUCGAGAUGGUCUUCUGGGCCAUCGUUUCUGCAGCCGUGCAGGAGAUAGAUCUAUUUCCUUGUCUCACUCUACUAGUUUCAUAUAAAGCUACUUGGGUUUGUAGACUUGUUACAAAUCUGUCUUCAUCAGUCUUGGCGAGGUAACUCGGAAUGGUCUUUUAGGCUACCGUUUCUGCAGCCAUGCAGGAGAUGUAUCUAUUUCCUUGUCUCACUCUAGUACUCUACUAGUCUGAGCCUCCUCUCUCCCUCCUCCUUUUUUUUCCUGGAAAAUUAAAAAUAAAAACUGAAGGGUAUCAGGUCCAGUCGUCGUUUGCCGAUGGAGUGGCAAGGGCUGCUAUGUAUGACCUCAUACAUGUUGGUCAUGACAGUCUUUUGGGGGAAAUUAUAUGAUUAGAAGGAGAUCUUGCUAUAGUAUGGGCUUUGAUGAAUGUUGCAUUAUUUCAUUAUUUUCUUUCACUCAAGAUGGAAAAAGAGCUGAAUGUGAUAUUGGACCAUGGCGAGGCACAGCCAGCUAUUAGCUGUACUGGUGAUAGUGGUCCUGUGUCUUACCUUGAACAAGUCGUUUCUCCCAUUUCUGAGACAAUGACAACUAAAAGUAGUUUUGUGGAGCACCAGAUAAUUGAAGUUUUCACCGGCUUAUUUUUGGUCUUAAAGAUUCAGGUUGUUACAUUCAGAUAGUUGAUCGGAAGUUCCAUAUUUGCUAUUCAAUGGUUUGGUAAUAGAUGCGUGCUUGCUUUCACACCUACAGAGUCUGACAAUUAUAGCUUUCAAUGACGGAAACAAUGGACAAAAACUACAUGGAUAAAAAGUAGGUCUUAAUUAAACUGUCAUCAAUCAAUACUCUAACCACAACAAUGGACAUCCAACUGUUAGAGAUAUAAGUGUGUGAAUAGUUUGUGUCAAGUCAACUGGUCAAUAUUGACUUGACUUGUAUUAUUACACCCAAUGUUUGUCUUUAAAUACUUGUAAUAAUACUUUCUUAAUUUGUACCGAAAACAAUUCUUUACAAUAACAUCAACUUUAG